rnacentral:tRNA from 1 species
GGACUGUAGCUCAGUGGAAGAGUGCUUGCCUAGCAUGUGUGAGGCACUGGAUUCGAACCUCAGCACCA